rnacentral:rRNA from 1 species
GAACUGGUGAGUAACACGUGGGAAACCUGCCCACCUUCGGGGGAUAACACCUGGAAACAGAUGCUAAUACCGCAUAACAACUUGGACCGCAUGGUCCGAGUUUGAAAGAUGGCUUCGGCUAUCACUUCUGGAUGGUCCCGCGGCGUAUUAGCUAGAUGGUGAGGUAACGGCUCACCAUGGCAAUGAUACGUAGCCGACCUGAGAGGGUAAUCGGCCACAUUGGGACUGAGACACGGCCCAAACUCCUACGGGAGGCAGCAGUAGGGAAUCUUCCACAAUGGACGAAAGUCUGAUGGAGCAACGCCGCGUGAGUGAAGAAGGGUUUCGGUUCGUAAAACUCUGUUGUUAAAGAAGAACAUAUCUGAGAGUAACUGUUCAGGUAUUGACGGUAUUUAACCAGAAAGCCACGGCUAACUACGUGCCAGCAGCCGCGGUAAUACGUAGGUGGCAAGCGUUGUCCGGAUUUAUUGGGCGUAAAGCGAGCGCAGGCGGUUUUUUAAGUCUGAUGUGAAAGCCUUCGGCUCAACCGAAGAAGUGCAUCGGAAACUGGGAAACUUGAGUGCAGAAGAGGACAGUGGAACUCCAUGUGUAGCGGUGAAAUGCGUAGAUAUAUGGAAGAACACCAGUGGCGAAGGCGGCUGUCUGGUCUGUAACUGACGCUGAGGCUCGAAAGUAUGGGUAGCAAACAGGAUUAGAUACCCUGGUAGUCCAUACCGUAAACGAUGAAUGCUAAGUGUUGGAGGGUUUCCGCCCUUCAGUGCUGC